AUCUCGUGGGGAUGCAACCUACGGCCAAGUCCUCGCAUCGGAGAAGCAUGUGACACGCACACAUAUAGCAGAAGAGUUGUGCACACACGUGUUUGCACGUGGACACAAUUACACGAGCAAGCAAGCACAAUAAGAAAGCCUACACACUUUUAGGAAGGGGAUUUCUCCCACGAGAAGAAAGAAUCCUUCUCCUACAAGGAC
rnacentral:lncRNA from 1 species